GCAAUUCCAGCUUCCCCCAUUGCAACCCAAUUUCCUAUUCUCAUCUCGGUUUCUCUCAAAUGCAGUGCACAAUGCAUUCGUUGUCCCAGCACUCGACAGUGCGAUUUGAGUGUUAAUUCGCAAUCGGAAUGUGCAACUGUUUGUUUGUUUGUUUGUGUGUGUGUGCUUGAGUAGAUGAGAGACGUGGAAUGAAUGCGCGUUGGGGUCUAUUUUUAUCUCGAGCUUCGUUGCACCUGCGCCCCUUCCUCCGCUUUCGGCUGCCUCUUUCCCGGAGCGCAAGAUCUUCUCCCUCCUCUGCCGCGCUUGCUUUAUGUUUUGUUGGUUUUUAUUCUGAAUUGUUGCUAAUAUUGGGUACCGAACUUCGGCUGUCCCCCCCCCAGCUGCCUAGUCCCGCUUCCCCUAUCUUCAUUUGAAUGCUUGGGGAAACGAUGGUGUAAUUUCUGGUGCAUUCAUCACUCAGGCAGCAGUACGCACGCCUUGCGGUAAUGCUGGUAUUGAGUUGUGUGUCGCUGAUCAUGUGAGUUUUUUCUUGUCCUUGACCCCCCCCCCCCCCUCCCCCCCUCUCCUGUGGCUUGACGUCGUCGCCUCUCCUGGGUGUCGGCUUUUCUAAAUCGAAGGAGGAUUUCGUUUACUUUGCCGGCGGUGGAAGCCAUCUCUUCCGACGGCGUGACAAUGGUGCAAGCUCAAUAGCACUGAGGAGACGGGACCGCCCCAUAUGAUAUCAUGAAGGUUACAAUUACAGGAAGCCAGUAAACCUUGGAGCUCGUUUCCUUUCGAUUGCAUUACUGAUAAGAUGUAACUAUUAGCCAUUCUGAGGAGUGAGUGUCAUAUCUACCUGGAAAUCUUCUAGCCUGGAGGUGCCUUCAGCAGCUUGAAGAAUCUGUUUGUCAGAUGGCGCUAGAUGAUAUUGUAAUCAACUUGGAUGCGAACUUCACUGGUGCAUGGGGAGGAGAAAGACGUGAAGUUGAGACACCUCAUGGUCCAAUUUCAGUUCUUCUGUGCGGAGAUCAAUCGAAGCCUGCCCUUGUCACUUACCCCGACGUGGGUUUAAAUUCAGAUCUGGCAUGCUUUGAAGGACUAUUCUCAUGUCCUGAAGCUUCUUCUGUUCUAUUCUACAACUUCUGUAUUUACCAUUUAGACCCGCCUGGCCAUCAGGAUGGCGCAACCGAGAUUCCAGAUAACCAACCCCUUCUGACUGUGGAGGAUUUAGCAGACCAAGUUGCUGAAGUCUUGGACCACUUCGGUGUGCAUGAAGCAAUUUGCUUAGGAGUGGGUGCUGGAUCGUACGUACUAAGCCUUUUUGCGGUUAAGUAUCGAGAACGUGCCAUAGGUCUCAUCUUGGUUUCACCACUUUGCCGGAAACCCUCAUGGACGGAAUGGUUCUAUGAUAAGGCGAUAAUAAAUAUUCUCUAUUAUUGUGGCACGACGAGUUUUGUUAAGGAUGCUCUCUUGCAGCGAUAUUUCAGUCAGGAAGUGCUGGCUUCACCCUUGGGAUCAGAAGUUCUGAAGAAUUUCCGCAAACAUUUAGAGGAUCACCCAAGUAAGAACCUGAUGCGGUACAUCCAAUCUUUAAAUGAGAGGAAUGACAUUACCGAAAGCAUGCGAAAGCUCAAAUGCCGCACUCUGGUAAUUGUAGGCGAAAACUCUCCGUUCCACUGCGAAGCUGUGCAUAUGAGCACUGCGAUGAGUCGGCGAUACCAAGCCUUGAUUGAGGUCCAAGCAUGUGGAACCUUGGUAACCCAGGAACAACCACACUCCAUGUUAGUGCCGAUCGAGUUGUUUCUGAUGUUCUAUAGUUUUUACAAGCGGCCAUUAUCGAUCUCUACACCGACAAGCCCGCUCAGUCCACCCUGUGUUCCUCCGGAGCUCCUCUCCUCUGAGAGCUUGGGCUUGAAACUGAAGCCUAUUAAGACUCGCGUUGCGCAAUGAGGAUCGAUGCGUUACCUACUAAAACUGUGAAUACUUCUUCCUAGCAGGCACUGUUCAAUUUAUCAAUUCCUUUAACACCACAUUAUGACUACUAACCAGUGACCUAAGUACCACCGAGAAAACUUACUGACUGUGGGAGAGAGGCGUAAUGGUGUCCUCGAUGGACCCACAAACAGCAGCUCAACACUCUCACUGCGAGGCCCUUGUAGAGCCCAACCGCCAUACCUACUUCGACGCUCCGGCUCCUCAGAUUCUGUAUUCCUCAGAUUGAUUCCUGCACAUAUACACACACAUACACGUUGCUCGGCGCAUGCAAAUGUUGCUCAUUGCGUGGGUCCCCUUCUCUACACAUCUCCGGCACUGGCUAGGUCAGAAUCUGCACGCGCCCCGAGUUUGUGGGUGCUAUCAUUUAAUUCAUUCUUUUGUUCGUUUUCAAUUUCUGUGUUGUUGCCUAGAUUAGAAAUAUGAGCAAUGUAACUGUCUAUAUUUCUGGAGUAAACGGGACGACGACUUUGUAAUGGGGUAUCCCAGUUUUCUCACAUUACAGAUGUACCAUCUAUGCAGUGUAGAAGGUUAAGGGGUCAGCGAGAUAUUGUCUCACUGGUUGAAAAUUUUGUACUAGGAUUUGGGUGGUUUUUCAAUUCGUCUGUAAAAGAUUUCUCACAUGAUUUUUUUGUAAGCCUUGUCUACACAAACCUCCAAACGUGAUCACUAGAGGUUCUUUGUAUUGUGUUUUAAUCGAAAUGGUCAAUAAAUUUAGUUUUUCUUUCCUUCUUU